rnacentral:rRNA from 1 species
UACGUAGGGUGCGAGCGUUGUCCGGAAUUACUGGGCGUAAAGAGCUCGUAGGUGGUUUGUCGCGUUGUUCGUGAAAACCGGGGGCUUAACCCUCGGCGUGCGGGCGAUACGGGCAGACUGGAGUACUGCAGGGGAGACUGGAAUUCCUGGUGUAGCGGUGGAAUGCGCAGAUAUCAGGAGGAACACCGGUGGCGAAGGCGGUCUGCUGGGCCAAGACUGACGCUGAGGCGCGACAGCGUGGGGAGCAAACAGG